rnacentral:rRNA from 1 species
CAGCAGCCACGGUAAAACGAAGGGGGCUAGCGUUGUUCGGAUUUACUGGGCGUAAAGCGCACGUAGGCGGAUCGAUCAGUCAGGGGUGAAAUCCCAGAGCUCAACUCUGGAACUGCCUUUGAUACUGUCGAUCUGGAGUAUGGAAGAGGUGAGUGGAAUUCCGAGUGUAGAGGUGAAAUUCGUAGAUAUUCGGAGGAACACCAGUGGCGAAGGCGGCUCACUGGUCCAUUACUGACGCUGAGGUGCGAAAGCGUGGGGAGCAAACAGGAUUAGAUACCCCGGUAGUCCCUGUCUCUUAUAC